UUAAGGGAAGACACAGCUUACACUCAUAGACUGGAGAGAGAUUGAGCACAUUAUACCGAAGCAAGAUGAGGAAGCAAUAGCGACAGAGCGGCUCACAACUAUUCACAUCAGUGGUUUCUAAUCCAGCCUCCUAUGUUACACUGCACGCUUCCUUGGUUGCUAUGGUGAUGGGUGUUUGUUUCACGGCGCCGUCGCUUGACGAUGACGUCAGACGCUAUGCGGCUCGGCGGGUGAGCGGUCCCGGGACGAGCCGGCGGGAAUUCACAGGUGUGACAGUAUAAAGCCAGCCUCCUAUGUUACACUGCACGCUUCCUUGGUUGCUAUGGUGAUGGGUGUUUGUUUCACGGCGCCGUCGCUUGACGAUGACGUCAGAUGCUAUGCGGCUCGGCGGGUGAGCGGUCCCGGGACGAGCCGGUGGGAAUUCACAGGGGGUGACAGUAUAAAGUGGUGUUCCGGUCCGGGUGCUCUAUGACGCCGAAGCCGGCGCCUCGGCAUGACGUCAUUUGUUCAUCCGGCGGGACGCGGCGGGCCGCUGGUGCCAUGGACCAUCAGACGGAGGUAUUUAGAACAGAGAUGAAAGGACUCCAUGUACCCACAAUGUUCCGGUACUGCGUAAAGUAGCUUGCUAUUGAAUUUAAAGUGUCAUAUUCUUGGACUCAAAAUCUCUAUUUUGCAGAAAUUAAGCAUUAAUCUGUUAUCUAUGGUGGUAGGAAUUUCAGUAGUAAUUAUCAUAAUAACAAAUGUUAAUAUGGAGUGUGCUGCGCUUAAACAGCAUAUACCAUCUGUUGGAUGAGAGGAUGCCAGCUCACGCAGUGGAACCACGUGACCCGCUCUUUUGUAUUGAGCUGCAAUGCAACAAAUGUGUGUUACUGAGGAGACUUCUUUGUGAAACAGAUGAUUCAAUUAGUGCCUGGAUCAACAUGGAAAUCAGAUUCGCUCAUAAACAUCACAGAGCAAAACAGGCAGCUGUACCAGGAUAAAAGAUUGAUUCAACCAAAAUACAUCCUGUUUAUACUGUCAGAUAUUUCCGACGGUAUAACACUUUGAUUCACUUUAUUGAAAAGAACCAAUGCGGAAAUUAAUGAAGUUCUAUACCUUGUAUUUACCUUGCAUGCGUUCGUAGAGCGCACUAUGGGAUUCAUUUAAUAGGUAAAAGUGUAUGUUAAUACUCCACAAAUUAACGAUGUACCUUUGACACCCAUAAACAUGAGCGAUCUUCAUAAUCGUUUCAUAUUCCCACCAGUUUCCUACCUGGUCACACCCUGCACUACCUGCUGCUCUUGUGUUUAAGGAUCUGUCCAUUACACAGAUGUUUACUUUGCAAUUCAGAAAUGUUUUUUUAUGAAUGAAAAGAACUAACCUUAAUGUAUCAAACAUGUUUCCCCAUAAACUUAUUCCGAGCCUGUAGAAAAAAAAUGCAUAUCUGCCUUUCUUUUAACCCUUUCGGUGCCAGGUAUCUGUAUUGACUUUUUCAGCAUUUUUUUCAAGAUUUUUGUCUACAUCAGAGGUUCCCAAACGUGGUCCUCAAGGCACCCCAACGGUCCUGGUUUUAAAUGUAUCCAUGCUUGGCCACAGGUGACUUGAUUAGCACCUUAGUCAGUUUGAUUUAACCAUCUGUGCUGAGACAUGGAUAUACCUAAAACCUGGACUGUUGGGGUGCCUUGAGGACCGCAUUUGGGAACCUCUGGUCUACAUCAAUAAAAUAUGACUCCAGUAUUCACUGAUUCUCCCAAUUAACAGACAAGCUAAGCAAUUGAAAACUUGUUUCCAUAUUUCUGUACUUCAUACUAUGCUAGAAUGAGUUCAUAAAUACUACAUGUCUAGUUUUAAACAAGCGUGUCCUGAUGAACCAAAACUGCAAUCAUGUAGAAAAUUACACUGAGCUAUUAAUCUGUCCCUUUGCUAAUUUAGCACUACUGUUGUUAUGCUAGAAUUAUACUGCAAAAUAUCUUUAAUGACUUCUUACAUUUAUAGAGAUACAGAAUUUGGCAUCUUUAUGUCAGGUUUUGUAUAAAGUUGCGGACUAAAAUAGA